rfam:Fukomys damarensis contig84592, whole genome shotgun sequence.
CAGCGCCGCCUCGAGGUGGCCCAGGCGCUUUGGGAGGCCUCCCAUGUGGGAGGCGACAUCCCUGUUUAAUAUUUAAACAGCAGUGUUCCCA